GAUGAACGCUGGCGGCGCGCCUAAUACAUGCAAGUCGAGCGAACAGAUAAGGAGCUUGCUCCUUUGACGUUAGCGGCGGACGGGUGAGUAACACGUGGAUAACCUACCUAUAAGACUGGGAUAACUUCGGGAAACUGGAGCUAAUACCGGAUAACAUAUUGAACCGCAUGGUUCAAUAGUGAAAGGCGGCUUUGCUGUCACUUAUAGAUGGAUCCGCGCCGUAUUAGCUAGUUGGUAAGGUAACGGCUUACCAAGGCAACGAUACGUAGCCGACCUGAGAGGGUGAUCGGCCACACUGGAACUGAGACACGGUCCAGACUCCUACGGGAGGCAGCAGUAGGGAAUCUUCCGCAAUGGGCGAAAGCCUGACGGAGCAACGCCGCGUGAGUGAUGAAGGUCUUCGGAUCGUAAAACUCUGUUAUCAGGGAAGAACAAAUGUGUAAGUAACUGUGCACAUCUUGACGGUACCUGAUCAGAAAGCCACGGCUAACUACGUG
rnacentral:rRNA from 1 species